CGGGGUGCAGCAGGCGCGAAAACUCCACACUGUACGACAGUACGAUGGGGUUAUCUCGAGUGCAGUCCGAUAAGGGCUGCUUUUCCAUAGAGUAAUAUCCUGUGGGAAUAAGAGGGGGGCAAGACUGGUGUCAGCCGCCGCGGUAACACCAGCCCCUCGAGUGGUGGGGACUAUUAUUUGGUCUAAAGCGUCCGUAGCUGGCUGCAUCCGUCCCCCGUUAAAUCCAGCGUCCUAAACGUUGGACUGCGGGUGAUACCAUACAGCUAGAGGGUGGGAUAGGUGAGCGGUAUUUCUGGGGUAGGGGCGAAAUCCUUUGAUCCCAGGAGGACCACCAGUGGCGAAGGCUGCUCACUAGAACACGCCUGACGGUCAGGGACGAAAGCUGGGGCAGCGAACCGGAUUAGAUACCCGGGUAGUCCCAGCUGUAAACGAUGCUGCUAGGUGUUGGGUCGGCCACGCGCCGCCCCAGUGCCGCAGGGAAGCCGUUAAGCUAGCCACCUGGGGAGUACGGCCGCAAGGCUGAAACUUAAAGGAAUUGGCGGGGGAGCAC
rnacentral:rRNA from 1 species